CAUACACACGCACACGCACGGAUCGGAGCUUUGUAAAACAGGCAGCUAUAGGCAAGGACCCGAACUGACACGGUAUCGCAUCGGGCAUGCUCCGCUAGCCUACAGGAUGGAUGGAUGGAUGGAUGGAUGGAGCAGAGGAGCCCAGCGACAGCCGGAGCGCGCUGGAGCCCAGGCAGCGCAGCCUCCCCGGGACAGCUUAGCCCUAAGCGGGGAGCCAGGAGGUGAAGAGGGAGCCGGGAAGGUGGUGGUGAGGAUGGCGAGGGCUCUGUUCCCCUCCCCGCUCCCCAAAAAACCUGCGGAGGUUCGGCGCGGAGAGGUGCCGCUCGCCCGCAGAGGGAUGCGCAGAGACGCGGCUCGGCGCUGCCGGGGUACAGCCGGGGACAGGGGGGCUGGGGGACUCUCCCACCACCCCCCCGGAGCCUCCCCGGAGCUCACAGGUUGCCGAGAGGGACGGGACACGGGACAGGGCGGCAGGGACCACCGGGGCAGUGGGUCCCCCAGCCCAUCAGCCCGGCAGGCGGGGGGGUGAUGAGGAGGAGGGCGGUGAUGGGGGGACCUCCCCCAGCACCCCGGUUUGGCCGUGGCUUUGCACCAGGGCAGGAGACGACAACAGCCGUUAACCCUUUCCUAAUUGUUUGAUUUUAACCUCUCUCCUGGCAUCCUCCCCAAUUCCUUGCUCCAUUAACCCAAAAUAUUGGGAGAAUGAGAUGAGGGGGAUAUCACAUCCACGUAACGCCCCAGGGGUAGAAGGAGGGGGGGGGGGAGGGAAAGUUUGAGCAGAUGGAGGAGGAGGAGAUGGGCUGGGGUGAAAGGCUCAGGCUGCAUCCCAGCAGCUUUGGGCUAAAGCUGCUGCCUCCGGCUUUACAGCCCAGGGAAGGUUCCCCGGGAAUGAGGAGCCUCCCGAGCAGAGGGGGGGGUCUGGGAAGGGAGUGGAGGGAAGAGGGAUAAGGCUCGAGAAGGGGGGAAGAGCUGGGGGUCUUCAGAAUCUUGUCAGGCUUCAGGACCUGCCCCUUGUCUUUAACCUUUUCUACUCCAAAAGGGGGAAACCACCCCCUUUCCCUGACAAAACCAUCUCCCUCCCUGUCCGGGGUGCUGCUUCCCAACAGAGGAGGGGCACAGACCUUCUCGAGGGGCAGAGGUGAAGAUCCCAUCUGCCAUCAGCCUUUAUCCCUCUGUCUUAGGGAGGGUGAAGAGCACCCCAUUUCUCCUCACAGGGACUCUCCAGGGCACCUCCACCCCCUUCCCUCGGCCUUCUUUCCCUUUCCUCCCUUCCCUUCACGUCAUCCGGCCCUUUUACCCCCGUUUCCACACCUUCAAACCUCUCGUAUCCCUAAAAAACUUCGCGGGGAAGGAGAAAAUCCUUCCUUCAGGGGAGCUGAGCAGCAAGCCCUGGCUGUGGUGGAGCGCAGCGAACCAGCCUCUCCUCAUCCCCAGCCGGCACUGCAGCAUCGCCGGCCAAAGGCAUCUGUGACAUCUCCAGUUAAGCAGGGACUGGAGCAAAGGGGCAGCUGGGGCCUGAAAUGCGUGUUUUUAGCCGACAGGCGGCUAUGCUGGAUUAGCGCCGUGCAUGCUCCGAAUGGAAAUCUCUCCCUUUCUCUCUCCAGCCUUUCGGGAGUUUGUUUUCUUGCAAGAAGGUUCCCUGUGCCUCCGAGGCCCCCAGGGAUUUCUUCUCUAUUUCUCCAGCUUCUCUCUCUCUCUCUCUCCAGCCCUGGCAGGUGCAAACAGGAGAGGGGAAAGCUUUGGAGGGAAACACGGAGUGCUUGGGAAAAAGAACCUAAGAAAUGUGUUCUGCCCCUGUGAGCCCCGUGGGGCAGCUCUGUCUUGCUUUUGGGGUGGUGGGGGGAAUGAGGGGCGCUCACCUUCCCUGUCUUGUGGUUGGGGAGACCAGACAGAGCAAGGUGCAGCUGGGAAUCUCUCCUGUGUUGCAGGGCAAAGAAGCUCAGCAUGAGGAAGAAGUGCCAGAAAGUGCCCCUGAAAAAACUAAAACCCAUUUUCAGUUCCCAUUGCUGCAAUGGGGAGUGAUGGAAAACACAUCUUUGUGGGAAUGGGGAGCUGUACUCAAUGCAAUGGAUCAUAAAAUCAUAGAAUAUCCUGAGCUGGAAGGGACCCACAGGGAUCAUCAAAUGCAGCUCCUGGCCCUGCACAGGACAACCCCAGGAAUCCCACCACGUGCCUGAGAGUGUUGUCCACAGAUGCUGAAAAAUAUCCCUGCAGCCCAUUUCUUUCCAGGCCUAAGUAGAGAAGUUUGUGAAUCCCCAGACCCUCAUUUAACAAAAGGGUAGACAUGCCCCAAACCUUAAAAAUGAAGAGAAGACAGGCCUGAGCUCCUCAUUUCUCACUGUGUGCCCUCCGGGGAGAACUGAGGGUGAGCUGCAACACUGAACAGGACAUGUGAGGAUUUGGGGUCUGCAAUGGGUUGAGGUAAUCAAAUGCAAUAACUCACCUUUCUCUCUGGUUUUGCACAUCUGUGAAGGGAUGAAGAGGAAAUAACUUCACCACAAUGCACAGGGAUCUGUGAAGUUCACUCCUGUAGGAUAUCUGGAGAGCAAAGAAAUCUGUUCAUAGAGCAAGAGAUGCUCUCAAAACAUCAGGUCUUCUAGAAAUCUGCCUUUCGGGAGACAUAUACCUUUCCUUCCAUCCUGCCAAAACAACCAAAGCGUGGAAUCCACAGGGAGAACAACACAUAUAAGGACCCCUUUUUUCAUGGUUGUCUCCCCUGCUCCCCAUGGAGGGGCCUUGCUGGGACCACUCUGCCCAGCUGUAUGAUUUAUUUGUGACACAGAAAGACUUAGAACAGAGAUCCCUGCCCUGUUUUGCUUGAAACUGUGCAGAAAUGACCAAAAGGCCUCAGCUCAUCCCAAACUGGUAACCUCUGUCCCAUCACAACAUGGUGUGAUGACUCCAGAAGUUACUCAAUGCACCACCGGGACCUUCCAGUGUCAUUCCCAGAGGAAAGAGAAGCAGACAGGAGUAGCAAAAGCAGGGAUUAGAAGGCCCAACAGCUUCUGGGACACACCAUCCCCAGACCAUCUUGAUGGUGCUGUAAGGUCAACCCACCCAUGACAGCAUUUGGGGAGGUACUGGGUGGGUUUUAUGACAAACACUGGCUUUGCUGUCCAAAAACACAACCAAGAGACAGCUAUCAUUCUCUGCUCUGCUCUGUGGUCUUUGUCCAUGGUCUGUUUUCUGUCUGGGUUUUGGAGAUUGAAAAGCUUGAGUUGGAUCCAGCUGUAAUUUUCCACUUCCCUCUGUCACCCCCCCCCCCAGCAAACUCAAUAGAGAUAAACAAACUCUCUACCCUUACAAACACUUUGAAUUUAGAACACACUUAUUGCACAGAAAAUGCCUCUUGUUGUCAGAGGCAACACUGGUCAAGAGCAAAAAAUGGGAUGGGAAUUUCCAUGGAUAAAUGCAGCACCUCUGGGAAUCUGCAAAGAGAUUUUGGGACAAGGAUUAAGCUGCUUUGGGGGCCUAAGUGGGUCUCAGACUACAAAGUACAUGAGGGAGGCAUGAAAGAGAGAAAAACAUUUUCUAUCUGCCCCAUUUUUCUACCUUCUUUUGAAGCACCUUCUAUAGAUGAAAAUAGUCUGUUUGGGCUGGAAACUGUUCAGAGCUGGUUUAGGCUUGUUAACUCUGUCCUCCCACCUCCCACUUUGGAAAGGUAGGAUUGUAGUGCCAUUGGAAUAAUAUAUCUGCCCCUAAAAUCUGCUGGAAGCACAAUUCCAAUGCAGAGAAACUGAGUUCAGUUUGUUGGAGGAGCCCCCUCCUUCCAGGGGCAACUCCAGCCACUGGAGGUUUAAAUGAGGAUGGUAAGAAAAAAAAAAAGGGAAUGCCUGGGAUUCCCGGAGGAUGUGUUUGAAGAGGAUAACUGCAAAGGAGGACAGCUUGUAAGUAAUCAGUUUACUUCCCCUCCAGCAACAGAUACCACUGUGUUUACAUCUAUAGCACCUUGCAUUGUGUCUGGUUAAAGAUCUGCUUAAACAUUUCAAAUUUCCUGCUAGUCACAUCCUUCUGCUGAAGGGUAACAUGGAAUAAGUCAGCUUUACACAGGACUUGAAGGGGAUUUUCCUAUUCCCCCCUCUCACUGGCUUGUCAUUUCCACCUCACUUUUGUUGUUGCUGUUGUUGUUGUCAUCAAUUUUUUAUACAUAUUUCUAAUGACUUUUCAUUCCUGUUACCAGCUGUGGUUUCUGCUGGCAGGAGCUGCUCAGGAGUGUUAAGGUUCACAUCAUCACAUGUCAAACCCAGCAAUCACAGCCUCUUCUAAGGGCGAGGGAGGAAAGUCCUGUUCCUCCUCACGUGGGUUGUAUCUAUUAAGUGAAAAAAUUUUCUGUGUUCAAGGAGUGUCUUGGCUCAAAGUCCUCCAUUCUUGGACAACUUGCAAAGAGGCUUCUCCUAAAAUGGGAAUUUAGCAUUAAGCCCAUUUUCUAGACUUGUAAAGUGAGGCAGGGCAGCAGUCCCAGCUUCCUAAGUGACAGCUUGGAAAACCCUAACUCCAGCCCACUCCCUUAACCAGCCUGCUUUGCACACCAGGGUCAGGGGACAACUUUAUGGAGCCCAAAAGAAGAGUCCUAAUGAGGGGGACAAGCACCAGCACACACAGUCAUGGCCAGAGACGGUGGAUGGAGCUUGGAUGAGUGACUGGAAUGUUGGUGAAGAAGCCACUCACCAGAGUUCCAAAACUCUGGGAUCAUCAAGGGGAGAGGAUAAAACCCACCCCUGAAAGCAUUUGUGGUGCUGGCUCUGGCAGCAGGAAGGAAUGAUGAGGCCCCAAGCCUAAAUAUUCACAAUUCUCUUUUUCCAGAGCUUUGAACUGAUCCUGAGCUUUUCUCUUUCCUCACUUCCUGACUAGGAACAGAAGGGGUGGGGAGGAGAUGUUCAUGACAUCCUUCUGCUGCCUUCCCAUUCCACAAUGACGAUCUACAGUCACUGUGGCUCCAGCUUCCUUUACCUCUACCCCCCACCUCUUCCACAUGUCCAUUCCCUGACACACACACUCCUGUGGGGAUCACAGGAGCUUUACACAUCACUUCUGGACAGACUACGGAGGGAGAGGGAUUCCUCCUCCUGUGGCAAGGCCAAAAGCUGGUGAAGAUCCAGGAACCAGAGGCUGAGGAUCAAGAGUGUGAAGGUUUUAGAGUUAGAGGCAUUUAAAUUGGAUCACUGAGGAAGCCAAUUUCCCAUCUGGAAUGGCUGGAAUUCCUUUGUGCCGCUCUUCAGGUGCUUUCCUGCCGACUUGCAACCCCUCUCCAUGCUCUGAGCAUCUCUUGCUGACCCUGGCACCAAACCGAUAGGAGUGGGAUGGACUGGGAUUCCCCUCCCCCGGGAACUUCAUCUUCCCACAACAGCUGUUGGAAGCUUGGAGUCACUUGUUUAAAGUCUCGGUCAGAACAAAAGGUUUCUCUGUCACUGUAAAGCAGCUCCAUUUGCAGGGCUCUCCCGGCCAAUGUGCUUCCCGAGCAGAGCCAUAGAUGGCAGUACGUGGUAUUUACAGAGUUGUUUCCCCGAGUAAAUCUUCUUAUUUUAGCA